rnacentral:rRNA from 1 species
UACGGGAGGCAGCAGUGGGGAAUAUUGGACAAUGGGCGAAAGCCUGAUCCAGCCAUGCCGCAUGAGUGAAGAAGGCCUUCGGGUUGUAAAGCUCUUUUAGUGAGAAAGAUAAUGACGGUACUCACAGAAGAAGUCCUGGCUAACUCCGUGCCAGCAGCCGCGGUAAUACGGAGAGGGCUAGCGUUAUUCGGAAUUAUUGGGCGUAAAGAGCGCGUAGGCUGAUUAGUAAGUUAAAAGUGAAAUCCCAAAGCUUAACUUUGGAAUUGCUUUUUAAAACUGCUAGUCUAGAGAUUGAAAGAGGGUAGAGGAAUUCCUAGUGUAGAGGUGAAAUUCGUAAAUAUUAGGAGGAACACCAGUGGCGAAGGCGUCUAUCUGGUUCAAAUCUGACGCUGAGGCGCGAAGGGCGUGGGGAGCAAACAGGGAUUAGAUACC